GCUGGUGUGGCAGAGCCUGGUAACUGCAAAAGACCUAAGCCCUUUAUACAGAGGUUCAAGUCCUCUCACCAACU
rnacentral:tRNA from 1 species